rnacentral:lncRNA from 1 species
AGAAUUCAAGGAUAUCAACGACAAUCAUGUCGGAAUUGAUGUGAACUCGCUCGAAUCGAUUACGGCGUACGAGGCAGGCUACUGGACUGAUGAGAAAACCUUUAAGAAACUGAAGCUGAAUAAUGGCAAAAAUUACCAAGUUUGGAUUGAUUAUGCUGAUAAUAAUAUCAAUGUUACAAUGGCACCUGUGGGAAUGAAAAGGCCUAAGCAGCCCUUGUUGAACGUUUCACGCAAUUUUUCUGAGGUUUUCGAGGAUCAAAUGUAUGUUGGUUUCACUGCAGCCACAGGUGCUCUAGUCGAAGGCCACAAGAUUUUGGCUUGGAGUUAUAGCAACAAGAACUUUUCGCUACACGAGGGAUUGGUCACAAGUAAUUUUCCAUCUUUCGAGCUUCUUAAAACUCCAAUCUACAAAUCCAAAAAAAUUGAUCAACUAGAAAAAAUAUUCAAGCAAAAAAAUUACUUUAUAAUUAAAACUUUUACUUGUCAGUAAAAAGUUACUGAUAAGAUAAAAGUACUUUUGUGUAUUUAUAAAUUAACAAUACUACUUAUAAGAAAAAAAAUUAUUUAUAAAAUAUAAAAAAAGUUACUUAUAUGUAAAAAUUGUUUAGCUGUACAAAAUUAACUUAUAAUUGUAAGUUUUACUUAUAAGUAAAAAUAAUGACUAAAAAUUUUAAGUAAGUACUAAAAUUUUUAGGUUAAAUAUUAAUUUAUAUGUAAAAAAUUACUUAUAAGUUAAAUAUCUUAUAAAUAAAAAGAUUUUACAGCAUAAAUUAUAAAAUGAAAAUUUCACUAAGGAAAUACAUGUAAUUUUAUUAUUUUAAAAGUUUUCCGAAAUCGUUAAAUAAUAAACUCUCAAACAUGUAUUGAAUUAUUUUAAAAAUCGUUACUAAAAUCACUUGAAAUGAAUUCGCUUUUAAACUCGUUACUUUAAUUGGUACCCAAAAUUUCAAGCAGGCCCUAGUUGAUAGUUGAUUUAUUAAUAUACUAAAUAGUCAAAGUCAUAACAUUGAAAAAUCUUGGCGAACAUUUGAUCUCAUAUAUUUUAUCAACAACAGCAUUUGUCAGCUAAUAUGUUCCUUUCGUUUCAUUUCCCACUGUUCAUGGACUCACUUUUCCUUUUACAAAGCGAUGAAGCAAAACUACCACCUUUCACUGUGCCUUUUAUUCCAAAUUUUAACAGUUCAAACCAUAUCUGCCAUUGAUUUUUUGCACAACGGCUUCGAUUCUUCCGAUGUAUCACUCUACGGGAACGCCACAAUCGAAUCUGGGAUUCUUUCGUUAACUAAUGAUACAUUCUCUAUUGGUCGUGCCCUUUUCCCGACAAAGGUUGCCACAAAACAACCGAAUUCGUCCCAGGUACUUCCCUUUUCGACAUCUUUCAUUUUCGCUAUGGCGCCGUACAAGGAUACGCUCCCGGGACAUGGUAUAGUUUUCUUGUUUGUGCCAAAUACAGGAAUCGAGGGUUCGAGUUCGGCCGAGCAUUUAGGCCUGUUUAACCGUACGAAUAACGGGCAUCCGAGUAACCAUGUUUUUGGAGUUGAAUUUGAUGUGUUUAAGAAUGAAGAAUUCAAGGAUAUCAACGACAAUCAUGUCGGAAUUGAUGUGAACUCGCUCGAAUCGAUUACGGCGUACGAGGCAGGCUACUGGACUGAUGAGAAAACCUUUAAGAAACUGAAGCUGAAUAAUGGCAAAAAUUACCAAGUUUGGAUUGAUUAUGCUGAUAAUAAUAUCAAUGUUACAAUGGCACCUGUGGGAAUGAAAAGGCCUAAGCAGCCCUUGUUGAACGUUUCACGCAAUUUUUCUGAGGUUUUCGAGGAUCAAAUGUAUGUUGGUUUCACUGC